rfam:Danio rerio chromosome 1 genomic contig CTG111, GRCz11 reference primary assembly.
UGCCACAGCCAUGUCACCCUGCAGCCCAAGACUGGUUACUCACUGAAGCUAAGCAGGGCUGAGUCUGGUCAGUACCUGGAUGAGAGACCACAUGGGAAAACUAGAUUGCUGUUGGAA